rnacentral:rRNA from 1 species
AAUGGGGGCAACCCUGACGAAGCAAUGCCGCGUGAAUGAAGAAGGCCUUCAGGUUGUAAAGUUCUUUCGUGGAGGACGAAAAGGUGGGUGGUAAUAUCACCUGCUGUUGACGUGAAUCCAAGAAGAAGCACCGGCUAACUCCGUGCCAGCAACCCCGGUAAUACGGGGGGUGCAAGCGUUAAUGGGAAUCACUGGGCGUAAAGGGUGCCUACGCGGUGCAUUAGGUCUGUCCUGAAAUCCCCGGGCUCAACCUGGGAAUGGCGGUGGAAACCGGUGUACUAGAGUAUGGGAGAGGGUGGUGGAAUUCCAGGUGUAGCGGUGAAAUGCGUAGAGAUCUGGAGGAAC